CGGGGCGUGGCCCAGUGGUAGGGUGCCUGCUUUGGGAGCAGGAGAUCGGCGGUUCGAGUCCGCCCGCCCCGA
rnacentral:tRNA from 1 species